rnacentral:lncRNA from 1 species
CUUUCUUGUGUAUGAUUAUAUAAUUUUUCACAUGCCUGAACUCAUUGACGAUAAUGUAAGGUGCUCUAUUAGAAAAAAAAAAUGGAUUUCUAGUUCGGGUUUGAAAAAGAAAUUUCGCCUUUUCUUGAGCCUGUUUUGUACAUUUAGUUUAACAGAUAUGAUCCAAUGGAAAUUUUCACAUGGAACCUUCGGUAAAUAGGAAAAUGAAAAGAUAUGGGGUAAUUUACAGAGAGACCAC